rnacentral:rRNA from 1 species
AUGGAAACGUCUCUUUUAAUGCCUGGCCGCGGCCGCAGCGCCAGCGACGAGGGAUCCGGACCGGCCCGCUCACGCACCACGUGCCUCGGUCCCCAAAUCAACAUUGACGAGGAUGGCGCCGGAGUAGCCUCCAACCGCCGCAGCCGUAAGCGCCACCAUCGGCGCGGUAAGCGCCUCCGCGCACGGACCCAUGCCAGUGAGGAGGGCAACGGCCGCUCACCGGAGCCGCCUGCCUCCCUGCCGGACAGCGAAGAUAUGGUCCGGGAGAUCCUCCUCCGCCUCCCCCUGGACCUAUACUCUCUUCCCCGCGCCUCCGCCGUGUGCAAGCAGUGGCGAAGCAUCCUCGCCGACCCCAAGUUCCUCCGCCGGUUCUACGCGCACCACCGCAAGCCACCCCUCCUUGGCUUCUUCCAUUACGGCAGCACACCGAUCACGUUCACGCCCGUCCUGGCCCCUGCUCCCGACCACAUCACCCCUGGGCGCUUCUCCCUUGGACACUACAGCGACCGCAUCCUGAUUGAUUCCCGCCAUGGCCGCGUCCUGGUCUUAAACUUGCAGCAUGAAGAGGUCGUCGUUUGUGAUCCUAUCACAAACAAACAUCACCGCGUGCCCAUUCCGCCCCAGUACAACGGACGCUUCUUUAACGCGACAGUGCUUUGUGCUGCUAGCGACCAGGGCCAUGUGCACGGCAGCUGCCACUUAUGCCCCUUCAAGGUGGUCUUGGUGUCCUACAGAGAGAAUAAGCACCCCUAUGCAUGCGUUUACUCCUCGGAGACUGCCACAUGGGGCAAUGUCAUCUCAACAGUAGCUUCAGAUGAUACAACAUUUGGUCCUUGUUGUAGCACCCUUGUAGAUAAUGUCCUUUACUGGCCAGCUAAGAAAAAAGGAGAUGACAUAGUUGAGUUUGAUUUGGGCACGCAGAACCUUAAUGUUAUCAAGGGGCCUCCAGGUAUGAAUAUGCAUGAUUUCGACAACUUUCAUAUCAUUGACGCAGAGGAUGGCGCCGUUGGUCUUGUCGCUUUGUCUCGCCAGCUUAACCUUCAAAUGUGGCGGAGGAAGGUCGAUUGUCGGGGUGUUACCACAUGGUUGUUGCAGAAGACUGUUUCAUUGGGUGAACUUCUUAAGAUCCCUUCUUGGACUAUGAGAAGGAUUGAACCGCUCAAAGUGGUGGGUUAUGAUGAGGAUACUGAUGUAAUCUUUUUAGAGAGUCACGAUGGUGUGUAUAUGGUUCAGCCAAAGUCAAUGCAAGCCAGGAAACUUAAUGGAAUCAGCUCUACAUAUUACUGCUAUACUUUAGCGAGUCUCUGUGUACUAGGUGAUUGA